rnacentral:rRNA from 1 species
CCGGGUUGCGGACAGUGUCUGGUGGGUAGUUUGACUGGGGCGGUCUCCUCCUAAAGAGUAACGGAGGAGCACGAAGGUUAGCUAAUCCUGGUCGGACAUCAGGAGGUUAGUGCAAAGGCAUAAGCUAGCUUGACUGCGAGAGUGACGGCUCGAGCAGGUGCGAAAGCAGGUCUUAGUGAUCCGGUGGUUCUGAAUGGAAGGGCCAUCGCUCAACGGAUAAAAGGUACUCCGGGGAUAACAGGCUGAUACCGCCCAAGAGUUCAUAUCGACGGCGGUGUUUGGCACCUCGAUGUCGGCUCAUCACAUCCUGGGGCUGAAGUAGGUCCCAAGGGUAUGGCUGUUCGCCAUUUAAAGUGGUACGCGAGCUGGGUUUAGAACGUCGUGAGACAGUUCGGUCCCUAUCUGCCGUGGGCGCUGGAGAAUUGAGGGGGGCUGCUCCUAGUACGAGAGGACCGGAGUGGACGCAUCACUGGUGUUCGGGUUGUCAUGCCAAUGGCAUUGCCCGGUAGCUAAAUGCGGAAGAGAUAAGUGCUGAAAGCAUCUAAGCACGAAACUUGCCCCGAGAUGAGUUCUCCCUGACUCCUUGAGAGUCCUGAAGGAACGUU